CACUAGCACACACUCGACCGCGGCCGGAUCCAGCACGCACGCGAGCAGCGAAGGGCGCAGGCUGGGCACUCUAUAGAAACACAAAUGAUGAAACUUCAAACACACUUCUAUGAUACUUAAAAAUCAAUCAUGAUCAUGAGAAUUUGUGAUGCAAGUGAAAGCCUGUAAAUAGAUCUCAACUAUGAUUAUCACCGAAACCUAGUUUCUCGUUGAAUUCUCAAAUUACUAAACAGUAAGACUCGGCUACCUACGAGCCACCACAGCGUUUUGACGUCAUCAACCGGAUCAAGCACCAGAACGACCCAGAUCGUUCGGUCAUCUCACCCAGCACCGAAAGAUCCUUUUCACGUCGCCGCGACCCAACUGGCACACGUACUCAGGCUGCUGCUCCACAGGCCGAGCUAGGAAUCCCCUCGUUCAUCAGGCUGAUCGGUGGCCAGAAGCCCAUAUAGGCGCCCCGCCCCGGCCUCCGGCCAGGCGCUCCAGUCCACCUCCAUCUGCGUCCUCGCACGCCCAGGCGCUCCUCCUGGCCCGCGCGCGCCCAGGUGGAGGCGACCUGGUGCUGGGCUCUUCCUCGCCCAUGCCCAGGUUGAGGUUCGGCUGCUGCCCAGGUUCAUCUCCUCUCUCUGCUGAAACUAACUCCAGGAGAUCACUGCAAGCACAAACAAUUUGAUGAUUAUAGACUGAAACACUGCAAGCACAAACAAUAUGAUGGUCAUCUCCUCUCUCUACUGUUUAGGAUAAAGAAAAAAUUUGAAUCAUAAUACAAUAACCUGGCGACAUAACAAAGCACAUCCGUAAAUUAAUUUUACAAUAUAUGUGUUGUCAAAAUGUAAUACCAAUUUUUAGCAAUCAAUAAUGAGCCUACUAAAGCCAUUGUUAGAUUUACGAAGUACUACAACAAAACCAUAAAUUGGACAUCCAAUGUUGAAUCAUAUAUAACCUGAAGAUGUGCCAUGUGCUGUAGGCAUCAAUCUUGGAUUCAGGAAAUAUCUCGGGAGAAUAGAAGCAAUUUGCCUGACGGAACUGCUCUAUAGUUCCUUGUUGUUAUGAAAUAGCAACCCUUUAUAUAGAAAAACACUAACUUCCUUGGUGAAUUUGACAGGGAUAGUCCAACAAAAGAAACAGAAAUAUAAUAUGAAAUAUAUGUUGCUGUUAUGACCGGUUUGGUCUAUACCAGGAAGAGGCCCACCGGGCAUUAGUAUUAGGGGCUUGACCCACAAGUUAUCUUAGGCAAGUUAUUUUAGGCAAGUUAUCUUAGGCUAAAGUUAUAAAUACUAAUUGUAAGACAUGGUUUGAGAUCAAGCAAUAAAGAUAUUUCUAUCCUAUUGCCCGGCUCCAGAGGAGCCGGAAACCCUAGCCGCCUCCUGCCCUAAACCGCCGCCGCCCUUCACCUCCUUCGCGACGGCGCCGACGCGCCGGAGCUCGCGAGCUCGCCCCCGACCUCCGCUGUUCUGCCCGUAUAACCUACGGAGUAGAGCCGGUAGGAACCCUAGUCCUACCAAUUUGGUAUCAGGUACCCGGGUUUCGACCAUGUCUUCGCCACCUCCAAUUCCGCCGCCGCCGCCACCACCGCCGCUGCCCAUCAACUCCACCACCACCACUACGCCAACCUCUGUUUUUAAGGCGUCCCUGAGGCGUCGCUUAGGCGACGCUUUGGCGUCAGGGCGCCCCCAGAUGACAAGGUGUCGUACUCGCCUUAGUUUAUUGAGUAAGGCGUCCGCCUUGGGCUGUAGGGCGUCUGAAUCGUCCGCCUUAGCCCCGCCUUGCACGCCUUGGCCCAAAUCAGACGCUCUGGUUUGUCAGGCAGGGGAAACAGAGAUUCCAGCGGGAAAAACUGGCCCACGCGGGAACACAAGCGCGGGAAAUAUUGGCCCACGCGCGAACAGUUACAAGGAGGGGAAAGAGAGAGAGAGAGAGAGAAUCGAACCAAUCGUGCAAAUCCUAGUCUCCACACGAGAGGUCUCUCUCCUGUUUCCUCUGGCGGCGGCUUCCUCCUCAGAUCUGCGCCAGCUUCCUCCUCUCCGGCUGCAGCUCCUCCCCCUCCCCCUCUCCAGUUGCAGCUCCUCCCUCUUCUCCUCUAGCGCAACCCUCUUCCACCAGACCAGCACCAGAACAAGGUAUGGCUCCUGGCUCCUGUCCGGCUGCAGCUCCUCUCCCUCCUCCUCUGGCUCUUGUCUCUUCUCUUUCUUCCAUCCAGCAGCCACACCACCGCUUCUCUCCUUCCCCGUGCUUGAUCUGGUUGCUCUAAUGCUUUGGUUCUCUCUUUUUCUUUGACAACUGAUUGGCCUUCUCUCAGUGUUGCUGCAGUAGCCACUGGUCAGGUGUCCCUGCUCUGAUGAAUCCUAGGAGAAG
rnacentral:lncRNA from 1 species